GAUCAUAUGAUGAUUUAAAUAACUGCAACAACAUGAUAUCUUGUGAUUACCAGUAUUUAAGUCUCUGAUGAUC
rfam:Picea glauca, whole genome shotgun sequence.